UAUUAUAAUUUUAUGAUUUUUGAUAUAUUUAUAAUUAUAUUAAAUAUAAAUAUUGUUAAUUUAUUAUUUGACUGUUACCGCAUUUGAUAGUUAACCAGUUAUAAGUCACCCGCAAACGUACUAAUUUUUAACCGUAGUAACAGUCGUACAAAUCUCUUAAAACCACUAGAAACCGCAACCGCCCGCAUCCGCAAACUUCCGCAACCGCAGCGUUUGAACCAGUUAGGCCCUAAGAAGUGGCAUGAAGGACGACACUCGACGUUUCUAAAGACUCAAAGCGAUACCGUCACACCAAACUAUGCUUUAAGAAGCCUUAUAGCUCAAUUAUGUGAAUCCAAUUACAUCAAACCUGUAAUCCUCGUCUCAAGGAUUUUACCCUCGUCUCGAAAAUAUUGCUUUCCACCUUCACAAUAGUACCUUUUCUGUUUAAUACUUGUUUUAUUCAAAGAACUAAUCUUCUUACAAAAAAACUUACUUCAAACGAAAACCGAAUAAAAUGAACCAUAGUCAUAGAUAACUUAAGGAAAAGUUUUAGAAAUGAAAUCUCAAAUGUGUGGCACCACCCAUGACUCAUACUUUUACAAAAGGAUGGGUGAGUAAUGGAAAUUACUCAGUAAGAAUAUGUUCAAAGAACCUACGAACUCAUCACAUAACAAGCAAGAAAACAAGCACAGUUAUAACUGAUAUCACCUAACAUACAACAUUCAACCUAGAUCUCUAGGACUUAUCUGCUCUUGACCCGUUGGCUCAACUGGCACUUUCCACCCCGUGUCUCCUAUGUAACUACCCGGUCGUGGCCCAUUAGCCCCUCCGGAACUGUCCACCCUCCAGUACAAUAGUCACUUAUGCCCAGAUUCGGUGUCACUUCAUCAUACAUCACAUCAUCCCUAUCGUUCUUCUACACAAGUCAUUAUUCCAAUCAUUAUCAUCACACAACUCAUAACCAUAAUCAUUCUCAUUCACGCAUACCAUUUAACAACCUAACAUCAUCUAGGUGUUUUCCAACACAUCAAAAAACAUCAACAACUAAAUCUAACUGUUCAUCUCAUAAACACAAUCAUCAACAAUAUCUAAACAACAUUAACAAAGGACCCACAAUUAAUGGGUCAUCACCUGGAAAGUAGAUGUCGAGAAAAAAGUAAAUCUAAAACAUAGAUCUGAAAGUGAAAAGCAAACAUCACAUAAAACAACAAUGAACCAAACGCGGGGCUCGAUGGUGGCGCCACGACGGAUGGCACGAGGAGAGAGAGAGAGAGAGAGAGAGAGAGAGAGAGAGAGAGAGAGAGAGAGAGAGAGAGAGAGAGAGAGAGAGAGAGAGAUUAAGAAGAAAAUUGUGUGCAAUAAACUUUUAUCGUAGUCUAAUAUCUUUCGGUGGUGCAGGACGGGCAUCCACCAUUGCCUGGGGUGGGGACAUGGGGUGACACUGCCGCAGUAUAUGUCAAUGGAGAUUACGAAGCCUCCUCAAUGAAGAAAUGACUUUCCUUAUAACUAAAACAUUUUGGUAUGAUUGUCAAGUUCUAAGCUCAACUUCAUUUCUUUUAACGGACAAACAAUCAUGUUCAGAAGAACACAUUUUUGUUUUCAAGUUUCUACCACUCAUGAUCGGCUACUUUGCAUUGUCUAUCCCAUUAGGAUUAUCUAUCUACUGGUUGGUUUCCCUCACCUUGAAACUUUCAUCUAGCCAUUUUGUUCAUGUUCCUGAUCUACACAUGUGUAAAUUGACCAUAAGACAGAUUAUUCCUCUAUUUUAAGAUAUGUACGCGAACAAACAUGAAAGGUAGUUGGCUUCAUGCUCAGUGUAUAUACGAAGCUAGUUGUUGAAUUGCAUAUCUUAAAUGUUGCGUCUUAAUGUUUUAACAUUCAAAUUUAUUUUAGGUUUACAAACAAUGUACUUAGCACUGCCCAACAAAGUAUGGCUGCGUAAACUAGGCGGUGCAACGCCUGCGAUUUAGAAAAUUAAAAGAACAAGAGAAGCGCAGCAAAAAGAACAAAGAAGUUGCGAAAGAUACAGUCGAACUGCUAAAAUCUUAGUCUUAAUCAGAAGAAGGGUCGGAUGAUGAGGAAGAAGAGAUUCGGGAAGGAGUGUUGGCUUCGAGCACAAGCAAGCCAGUUCUUGAGGUUGGAAACGCACUGUAUAUAACAAGCAGAACUGCAGUAGUUGAUCAAAGUAAAUUGAUUGUGUUUCUUAUGUGAUUCGUCUUAUUACAAAUGUUAUAAACAACGUAAAUGUCAGUACUAUUGUGACUUCCAAAAUGGUGUAAGCAUAUCUUUGUUGUAAAAUUAUGAAUUUGACAGAUGCAUGUUUUCCUAAUGUAUAAACGGCUUAUACAAUUGUUUAUAGAGGAAAGCUAAACAAAUUUAGGCAAUAUUACACAUCUAAUAUACCUGAAUGUGCGUAACCACUAAUUAUUGUAAGCUAAGCACCGUUUAGUCAAACUGGGAAAUGGGAAAUCUAGUUGUAGUAGCUUACUUUAUCGUAUUCCUAGCAUUGGCAAGCAGUUCUGCAAAAGUUUAGGAUUAACGAGGCCAAGAAAGGUUCGCACGAUUCUCGAAGUUGCACAAGCAGACAAAUACCUCUCUUGCUUUGUUGUUUUGUUGUUUGUCCUUUUGUUGUGUUUGGCAAAGAACCCCGUUAGUAACAUGAACAUGUAAAACUUGUCAGUCUUAGCCUUAUUGCCCCUAAACUCAGAAGAAGAAAAAUGGCAUAUGACUCGUGACUCACAAGUCACACAAAGCAACAUGUGUUAUAGGUUAGAAAUUCAGAGAUAUUUUUUUUAUUAAAUAAAAUAUAUGGCUUCUAUUAUAAACUCCAUUCUAUCAAUUUUGUUAUCGAGUUUAGAGUCAAGACUGUUUUGUUUAGACUUGAGAGAGUUUCGUCCCGUUUCACCAAGUUUCAAAUUUCUGUAUAUAGCUAAAUAUAUUUCCUACAUGGGAUCAUUAUAAACUAACACACAUUUGCUAGAUACCUUAACUAAAUUGUAACUGUAUUGUAUAUAUAUAUGGUUAUAAUUACAGAUUAUAUGUUUCUACAAUAAUAUAUCAAAUUACAAUAUUACUACACUCUACAGAUACUUAUGUUUUAUUCGUAUUAAGUGUAAAGAUGAUAUAACUUAGGACAAUUGUCAAUAAUAACACAUUUUAAAGUUUAUGUCUCAAAAAUAGCACUAGAAUGAGAAAAUCACAAAAAUGACAUUCAUUAAAGGGUAAAAUAUCUCUA